rnacentral:rRNA from 1 species
UGGGGAAUUUGGACAAUGGGGCAACCUGAUCCAGCAAUGCCGCGUGUGUGAAGAAGGCCUUCGGGUUGUAAAGCACUUUUGUCCGGAAAGAAAACGCCGUGGUUAAUACCCGUGGCGGAUGACGGUACCGGAAGAAUAAGCACCGGCUAACUACGUGCCAGCAGCCGCGGUAAUACGUAGGGUGCAAGCGUUAAUCGGAAUUACUGGGCGUAAAGCGUGCGCAGGCGGUCCGCUAAGACAGAUGUGAAAUCCCCGGGCUUAACCUGGGAACUGCAUUUGUGACUGGCGGGCUAGAGUAUGGCAGAGGGGGGUAGAAUUCCACGUGUAGCAGUGAAAUGCGGUAAGAGAUGUGGAGGAAUACCGAUGGCGAAGGCAGCCCCCUGGGCCAAUACUGACGC